CUUUCGGGAUGUUUACGUGCAAGCCGUGUGGGAAGUACAAUGACGUGACCUUGUUUUUGCUGAGGAGGGCGAUACUAGAAUGUGACGAGGGCGGUGACCAUUUUUGCGUGUGGAUUUUUUGUUUGUUUGUUUAGUGAGUAACAUAACUUGGUCACUUGUAACCCGCAGUGGAACUUCUAGAAGGUUAGAUUCUUGUAAAUGUCUAAAGACUGGAAACCAAAUCACUACAACCUGGGAAAGUUACCUGUGUGUUUUUUUUUUGCACCACUAAAGUAGGUGCUGCAUUUUCAUUUUUGUGCCCAAGCGUUAAUUUAAUUUAUUUUUAAUAUACCACGCUUAAAACAUAAUUUGUUGAAGCAGUAUGUAUAUAUGUUUAUAGAUCUUAAUAUGUUUGGUAACGUUUUUAUUGUGUAUCAUUUUUGUCAUGUUUUCAGAUUAUUUUUAUGGGUUUUUUUUUUUUUUUUUAACAAAAAGUGAAAGGCAAUCACUUGACAAUACAGAAACUGAAAUUCAUGAUCUAAAGUGGAAAGAAGGCUGGGGUCCUGUACAGAAAGCAGAAAUGGACAAUUUCACUUCUUGAUCUGUUAUUUGUACAGGGUGUUUCAGUGAUCUGGAAAAAAAAAACUCUUAACACAAAUAAUGGACACCUAAAAUUGAAAUCUAGUACAGCCUUGGAUUUAUUUAUUUAUCUUUUUAUUUUUUUUUAGCUGAACUGUUUAGUAAAUACAACAUAUUUGGAAAUGUUUAUAUAAUACCAGGUCAACAAUGUGGGCUGUCAAUUGAAGGUUGUGUAGAUAAAAUAUAACCUAAAGUGAUCUUGUGUAACAACCCACAGUGGAAUUUCCAGAAGAUUCUAGUUUCUUCAUAAAUGUUUAAUGGCUGACACCCCAAUCACAAUUCUUUUUUUUCUAUAGCACUGGGUUUAUGGUAAAGAUUUUGUGUUGUUCCCUACACUAAUUUGUUAUGCAAAUAGUUGACCUCUGUUUCAUCCCUGUAAUAGUGAUUACACAGUGGGGAAUAAUCCAGGGUAAACAUUCCCUGGUGCUGUAAAAAUGUUCCUAUAAAAUCCAGUUGUGGCAAAUUCUGACCGGAUAGAUUUGGAUUAUUUAGAUUUUUUUUUUUUUUUUUUACUGUGAAUGGAUAAUCUCAUUAUCUUGAAUCCUCUGCUAGAAAAUGUUGUGACUGAGUUACCCUUGGUUCCCAUGUGAUUUGUUUGCAUAGAUCAUAUUCUGCAUGAAAACCCCUAGGGCUCUCUGUUGUACUUUCCACCUACAAUAGAGUAUAUGACAGCUUUACUUUCCUUCUACAAUAGAAUUCUAUGUACAGUAUUUGAGUGUAAACUACCACAAAAAAAAGGUUUAGGGUACUUCUACAGUAUGUGCGCUUCAAAUAGGCUAAUAAUAUGCAGAUUAUUCUCCUGUUUGAAAACAUUUACAAACAAAACAGAAAAAAAUCAAAUAAAAAAUAAGAAAGAAACCAAAAUGGUUAAUACAUUUCUUGUACCUCAGGUGAAACAUUUAGCCCUGCCCCAUUUUUACUAGGAUUGGGGAAAACAUCAUUCUAUUUUCGUUGUUUAGAAUUAGCCAGGAUGUAGCUGUGUUGAUUGUGUUUAUCUGUGAUACUGGGACUGGGGUUAACAAUUGCCCUUUUUUGAAAAAAUAGAAGCCCCUGCAGCACAAUGUCCCCCAACACCACCCUGGAGAACUGGCUCAGAAAGAAGACUGCCACCACCCUAACUCCUUUUUUGGAUGCAGAGCCUUAAGGGAUAUGAAGGAUCAAAUUCAGUGAAGGCAAACCAGAACCAACAUACACUCUGGGUUUCUUUGUGUCUAUGACUACAAUCUGGUGUUUUUUUUUUUUAUUCUAGCAUAAGAGUUAAAAUAGGCAAAUAGAAAAUAUUGCUGUUAAUAAAUGUCUGUCUUCUAGAAUUCCAAUGCCUUCCUUCCCUCUGGCUCCAGCCCUGCAGUAUUCAGCCUGCAUAAUGGCAAAGGUUAAGAUGGAAUUAUCCAGAUCAUGCUUUCUGCUUGUGAUACUACUUCUUGCCAUGAAAAGAUUUAAUUUGCUACAGAGGCCUACCCCGAGAGAGAGCUGUGCACUGGAGACUCGGCUUGUUCUUUUCUUUCCUAUGAAACUUUGAAAAAUAAGUCAGUUUGUGGUUGAGAUCUGUAUGCUGUGUUUGUCUGGUUUCCUACAUGCUGGGAUUGCGGUGCCUGUCCUUUGCUUACCAGGACCUUGAAGAGAUUCCCUACAUCUCAAUACUCCAGCACCAGGACACCCUGGAAGUACUGGAUCUGAGCUACAAUCUCCUGGAGCACUCUACUGGGAGAGCUGGAGAAACUCACCACCUUGAUUCUGGACUGCAACAACUACACGUCACAUGUGAAGUUCCCAUUCAUGCCCAGUGUCACAACGGUGUGGAUAAACAAAAACAAAAUAAAAAACCUGCCCACAUUUGUCGAAGAAGUAAGAAGGAAGAAUUCUCAGUAUGAUGAACAACGAAGCUGCACCAAGUUAUUUAAUGGAGGGAGUCUGUGUCAGUAUCUGGAUUACAGACAGUAUGUUAUCAGCCAGAUCCCAGGUUUGGAGGUGCUGGAUGACAAAGAAGUUUUGGAAGAGGAGCGCAUUGAAGCUCAAAACGUGUAUAAGCUCCAGAGAUCAAGUGUGUUCAAGAAGAAAAAGACAUAAGAAAAUAACCCCAGCUCAGGCUGAUCUUCGCAAUCUUCAUACUUCAUACUUCAUACGUCAUACUGCCCUACAGUCUGCAGCAGCCAUGCAGAAGUAUACAUACUGGGUACACCAGUAUGUAUAAAUAAUAAUGGCACCUUGUUUGUUAUGUGCAUCCCCCUUGCUGUAAUGUGCUCUAAAAAAUAUAUUCGAGACCUAUCCUAGCAGAGUAUUAAUUGAUCAAAUCAACCCCUUACAGCUUAAACUUUUAACAGUGCUUGUAUGCUUUUAAAAAAAGGUUAUUUUGCAUAAUCUAUUUAUUCAUUCUUUUCUUUUCCCUGUUUUCCUUAUUUUAAAAUUCCUUCUACCAAAAGUUUGGCUUUAGAUAUCACGUUAAACCAAGCAUCGACUGUGGCCUUAAUUUAAAAAAUAUAUAUUUAUCAGUUAACUGAUUUUCAAUUUGGAACUAAGUGAUCUUUCCUAGACCUGCAGGUCUGCAGUAUUGAAAGAGUGAGUUAAAGGCUGUUUUUAAAAGAGCGUUUCUAAAGAAAUCAUGAAAAUCACUCUUUAUUGUAUUCUGUUAAAAUAUCUCUCUUUUACAGACAGCAACCCUGCUCUUUCCUCCAAACACUCUGCAGCCACAAAAAAACCACACCCGAAAAAGAAUCACCCCAGAAAAAGGAACCACACCCGAAAAAGAAUCACCCCAGAAAAAGGAACCACACCCUUCCCAGGAAGUAAUAGCCAUAUUUAAAGAGCUCCCAAUUAAGAUACUUAAAUACACAAUGAUAAAUCAAGCUCAAUAAGCCCUUUGCCAAGGCAAUUAGCAAAACACCUGACUCUAAUUAGAAUUUCCAUAUCGAAAUUAAGGAAAAGAUCAUUCAGUUAAAACAAGAGAGACCAGUGCAGAGAUAAACCCCUUACCAAAACUGACAGUAAAUUGAUAUAGCUUCACCUAAGUUUUACCUUAUGAAUCUGAAAGGCCCACUUUAGAAUCGAGGACAAAAUUACUUAUUUAGCAAUUGAAUAGAGAAUUAACUUAACCUGGCCAGGUAUUCUGAUACUCAAUUAAGAGCAGCAGGCAGCAAAUUACUUAUGCUACAU